rnacentral:rRNA from 1 species
CGAGCACGCGCGUGUGGCAUAUCAAUAAGCGGAGGAAAAGAAACUAACAAGGAUUCCCUUAGUAACGGCGAGUGAAGCGGGAAGAGCUCAAAUUUGAAAUCUUCAAGGUUCUAUCUUGACGAAUUGUAGUUUAUAGAAGUGUUUUCUGUUAGUGGAGUGGCAAAAGUUCUUUGGAAUAGGACAUCAUAGAGGGUGAGAAUCCCGUAUUUGGUCAUUCCUCCUAGCGUUGUGAUACACUUUCAACGAGUCGGAUUGUUUGGGAAUGCAGUCCAAAAUGGGUGGUAAAUUUCAUCUAAAGCUAAAUAUUGGCGAGAGACCGAUAGCGAACAAGUACCGUGAGGGAAAGAUGAAAAGAACUUUGAAAAGAGAGUUAAACAGUACGUGAAAUUGUCAAAAGGGAAGCGUUUGACACCAGUGUUGUUUUUCCGAAAAUCAAUUACGAAUGUUUUUAUUUUUGAGGAGUUAUGACUUCAUCGGCUUGCUUCUCUCUUUAUGAAACUUAUUUAAUGCACUUUUCAGGUUAACAAGUCAACAUCAAUUUCUUUUGUUGUAAAAGGGUAUGAGGAAGGUGGCUUUCUCUUCGGCGCAAGUGUUUAUAGCCUUGUACCUCUGCAAUCGGAGAGAUUGAGGUACUGCAGCGUAGACUCCUUCGGGGUUAGAUACGUUUGUGCUAAGUUAUAGCCUUGUAUAGACAACUUGUUGACUAUAGCUCUAGUCAUGUAGCUUACUCGCAUAUAGUAUUUUACCUACGCUUAGGAUGUUGAUGUGAUACUGCGAGC